CCUACGGGAGGCAGCAGUGAGGAAUAUUGGUCAAUGGCCGGAAGGCUGAACCAGCCAUGCCGCGUGAAGGUCAGUGCCCUAUGGGCGUUAAACUUCUUUUGUGCGGGAGCAAUAAUGGUCACGUGUGGCCAGACGAGAGUACCGUACGAAUAAGCAUCGGCUAACUCCGUGCCAGCAGCCGCGGUAAUACGGGGGAUGCAAGCGUUAUCCGGAUUUAUUGGGUUUAAAGGGUGCGUAGGCUGGGAGGUAAGUCAGCGGUGAAAUGCCCCCGCUCAACGGGGUGAAGUGCAAUUGAUACUGCCUGGCUGGAAUGCGGAUGCCGUGGGAGGAAUGUGUGGUGUAGCGGUGAAAUGCAUAGAUAUCACACAGAACACCGAUUGCGAAGGCAUCUCACGAAUCCGCGAUUGACGCUGAUGCACGAAAGCGUGGGUAUCAAACAGGAUUAGAUACCCGGGUAGUC
rnacentral:rRNA from 1 species